UACGUAGGGACCGAGCGUUGUCCGGAAUCAUUGGGCGUAAAGAGCGUGUAGGCGGCACUUAAGUCCUGCGUGAAAUCCUGCGGCUACACCGGCAGGCGUCGUGGGAAACUGGGUGGCGUAGAGUGCGGGGAGAGGAGGAUGGAAUUCCUGGUGUAGCGGUGGAAUGCGCAGAUAUCAGGAAGAACACCCGUGGCGAAGGCGGCUC
rnacentral:rRNA from 1 species